rnacentral:rRNA from 1 species
UACGUAGGGUCCGAGCGUUGUCCGGAAUUAUUGGGCGUAAAGGGCUCGUAGGCGGUCUGUUGCGUCGGGAGUGAAAACUUACAGCUUAACUGUGAGCGUGCUUUCGAUACGGGCAGACUUGAGGCAUUCAGGGGAGAACGGAAUUCCUGGUGUAGCGGUGAAAUGCGCAGAUAUCAGGAGGAACACCGGUGGCGAAGGCGGAUCUCUGGGCCGUACCUGACGCUGAGGCGCGAAAGCUAGGGGAGCAAACAGG